GACGAACGCUGGCGGCGUGCUUAACACAUGCAAGUCGAACGGAAAGGCCCUGCUUUUGUGGGGUGCUCGAGUGGCGAACGGGUGAGUAACACGUGAGUAACCUGCCCUUUACUUUGGUAUAACUUCAGGAAACUGGGGCUAAUACCGGAUAGGAGCUCCUGCUGCAUGGUGGGGGUUGGAAAGUUUCGGCGGUUGGGGAUGGACUCGCGGCUUAUCAGCUUGUUGGUGGGGUAGUGGCUUACCAAGGCUUUGACGGGUAGCCGGCCUGAGAGGGUGACCGGCGACAUUGGGACUGAGAUACGGCACAGACUCCAACGGGAGGCAGCAGUGGGGAAUAUUGCACAAUGGGCGGAAGCCUGAUGCAGAAACGCCGCGUGCGGGAUGACGGCCUUCGGGUUGUAAACCGCUUUCGCCUGUGACGAAGCGUGAGUGACGGUAAUGGGUAAAGAAGCACCGGCUAACUACGUG
rnacentral:rRNA from 1 species